GCUACAACUGAUGGUGCCACCACCUUGGCAUCGCCGCAGGCUCAGUUGUAUCCUCGUACUAGGGCUUCUCGUUGCAAACUGCAUGUUGAAGUACCAUUUGCAAGGAGACACUCCCUUCAGCGUUUCCUUGAGAAGCGGCGGGACAGGCUGGUGAACAAGAACCCAUAUCCUAGUCCAUCGAUGCC